rnacentral:sRNA from 1 species
UAAAUCUAAACGUGAACGUAAUUUGCGAC